rnacentral:rRNA from 1 species
UGGGGAUGACGUCAAAUCAUCAUGCCCCUUAUGGCCUGGGCUACAAACGUAAUACAAUGGCGUAUACAAAGGGAUGCGAAAGGGCGACCUGGAGCAAAACUCACAAAGUACGUCUCAGUUCAGAUUGGAGUCUGCAACUCGACUCCAUGAAGGCGGAAUCGCUAGUAAUCGCGGAUCAGCAUGCCGCGGUGAAUACGUUCUCGGGGUUU